rnacentral:rRNA from 1 species
GAUGAACGCUGGCGGCGUGCCUAAUACAUGCAAGUCGAGCGAACAGAUAAGGAGCUUGCUCCUUUGACGUUAGCGGCGGACGGGUGAGUAACACGUGGAUAACCUACCUAUAAGACUGGGAUAACUUCGGGAAACCGGAGCUAAUACCGGAUAACAUAUUGAACCGCAUGGUUCAAUAGUGAAAGGCGGCUUUGCUGUCACUUAUAGAUGGAUCCGCGCCGUAUUAGCUAGUUGGUAAGGUAACGGCCUACCAAGGCAACGAUACGUAGCCGAUCUGAGAGGGUGAUCGGCCACACUGGAACUGAGACACGGUCCAGACUCCUACGGGAGGCAGCAGUAGGGAAUCUUCCGCAAUGGGCGAAAGCCUGACGGAGCAAUGCCGCGUGAGUGAUGAAGGUCUUCGGAUCGUAAAACUCUGUUAUCAGGGAAGAACAAAUGUGUAAGUAACUGUGCACAUCUUGACGGUACCUGAUCAGAAAGCCACGGCUAACUACGUG